AUAGCUUACGUGAAGAAUCUCAAAAUAAUGCUGAUUUCGAAAGAUUUUUUGGUUCUUAGCCAAGGAAACCGCAGAAAGCUUGAUAUAAUGAUAUGUUAAAGGUAAUAAGUGGUCACAUAUGCAACCUAAUGAAAGAUACUGUAGAUUGGUAUUGCCUAGUGUUAGAGUAGAUAAAACUAUUGUUGUUUCAGCGACCAUGCUGUUAUUAACAACACAUAUUGAAAUAGAGCUACAUGACUUGAAGUAACAAAGAGGAGACACUAGGAUCUUCUAGUUGAGGAAUAAAUAAUAGACUAAAGACUUGCAUACUCAGAAAACUCUCGUACUACAAUAAGCUAACUUUCAAAGAGCAUUCAAUUUGGUCUUAGCUUCUAAAGUUAUCCUACUUCUAAUGGUUAAAAUAAUAGAGCCGGUCAGUGACUAAAGACUUGCAUACUCAGAAAACUCUCGUACUACAAUAAGCUAACUUUCAAAGAGCAUUCAAUUUGGUCUUAGCUUCUAAAGUUAUCCUACUUCUAAUGGUUAAAAUAAUAGAGCCGGUCAGUGACUAAAGACUUGCAUACUCAGAAAACUCUCGUACUACAAUAAGCUAACUUUCAAAGAGCAUUCAAUUCGGUCUUUGCUUCUAAAGUUAUCCUACUUCUAAUGGUUAAAAUAAUAGGGCCGGUCAGUGAUUAGCAUUAGUCACUUGCACCAAACUGAAAGAGGAUAAAUGGAAAUUAACUUGCUCCAUGUGUACCUUAUCUUACUUUUGUUAUAGUCCAGAAGCAAAUGGGGGAUAAGUCAUCCUAAAAAUUUACUAUGGCUUUGCCAGUUUGUAGCAGAAGCUAUCUUCCACCAUUUUCUUUUCCUUCUACCUCUCAAAUGACAGUACAGGAGACGGAUUUCCGGCCUUUGUUAAAGAAAUAUAAAAUGCGACAUAACUCAUGAAUUCCGGAUUCAAUUAGUUAGACUUCUUUCCAUUGAACUUCUCCGGGCUAAUUGUGUUACUUCCUCUCUUCCCCUAUAUAGACCUUUAGACAUACUAGAUACUGUUGGGCCACGGUGGGCCUACAGUUUAGGGUUACUAGAUGAAUCCGAGUAAGUUUCUGUCAUUGAUUACCUUGCAGGAGUUAAGCGAAGUCAACAAGAGGUGUUAUUUCUUUACUUUCAUGGUACAUAACGAGUCUAGUUGGCAUGCAAAUACGUGGAUUCAUGGGAGUAUAAAGCUGAUUCUUGAUACCAUUUGUGAAGUAGUUGAUGACGAACAAAGAGAGCAGCUU
rnacentral:lncRNA from 1 species